GACAGUCAGCCAAGAACCCCACGGAAACGCUGCUCUGCAUUAUGGCCUGUCCCAAGCUCUCACUUUGCCCAGCUCCGAAUUCAGACUAGCAGCUUCCAGCUGUCCUAAACGUAGCAGAAGGGGUCGGGAGGCCUGAUUUCCACUGUGUUGAUUUCGCGGUUUGUUUGCUUUUUCUUUUUCCUGAACCUGACAUGUCCCGAACUCGGGCACUGAUGAGGGGCAGUGGCCUGAGGAUAAGGUUAGGUGUCCUCCGCUCGGGCUCGGGGCUCCCACGGGCUUGCGAUUCCGCCAGCAUCCGUCGGGAAAGCACUAACCCUGAGAACUUCUGUCGCACUACUUACUGCGACUCGCUCUAAGCUCGGCACUGGCUAAUUUGCGGCUGGACGCCAGGGCGGCAAACAGCAAAGGCCUAAGUGACCUGCUGCUUAGACGCCCGGGGCCGAAGAGGCUUCGGAGUAGGCU
rnacentral:lncRNA from 1 species